UUCUCCAGCACCCUUUUGCAUCAUUCUUCCUGGGGCUCCUUACACUACAGAAGUCAUUUCUUUGAUUCUCAAGGUCACCAAGCUUCUUCAUCGGUAAUCAGCUCCUUAUGCCUGGAACACCCUCUGUACCUUCCCCCCCCCCCCCCCCCCACCGUCUCACUAACUGCCACUCAUCCUUCAGGUCUCAGCUUAACUGUCACUGCCCAGGGAGACCUUCCCUCAGCCGCACAGCAGGCUGGCUCACUCUAUGUUGCUUGACCAAAGGCUGAACAAAUGAUGAUAUAAAAUGAUAAGGAACUGAAGACACAGCUUUUGGAAAAGCUGAAAGCCUCUUUGAUGUUGGAAGCACACUGUGUCAUGCAUAGCGUGCUGGGUAAGAAGAUGGCUGAAGAUGACUUUACAGACAGGAUAAUCGCUCCAGCAGACAGAUGGAAGGGGGAAGGGGGUCUGGCUUUGUACCUGUAAGUGCAGCUGCACCUUCCUUGAUGAAGCUGUUCUGUAUUCUAGAACCUCUCAUUCGGUUUGCUCAAGUAAUCCAGAUUUGAAUAAACAGUCACUGUGUGGAAGCUAA